CGUGUAGGCGGUUGGUCAAGUCUGAUGUGAAAGCCCGGGGCUCAGCUCCGGAAGGGCAUCGGAAACUAGCCAGCUGGAGCGCGAUAGAGGAGGGCGGAAUUCCUGGUGUAGCGGUGAAAUGCGUAGAUAUCAGGAGGAACACCGGCGGCGAAGGCGGCCCUCUGGAUCGUUGCUGACGCUGAGACGCGAAAGCGUGGGGAGCAAACAGGAUUAGAUACCCUGGUAGUCCACGCUGUAAACUAUGGGUACUAGGUGUUCGGGGUAUUGACCCCCUGAGUGCCGCAGCUAACGCAUUAAGUACCCCGCCUGGGGACUACGGCCGCAAGGUUAAA
rnacentral:rRNA from 1 species